UAUUAUUACUUUCUAUGUGCUGCUACCUGUUCCUUUAAAAUAGAUUCUAGCAUUUUUCCUAUUAUUGACGUCAGGCCUCUAGUUCUCUGUUUUAUUUGUCCCUCUUUUCUUAACUAAUGGAAUUACAUUUGCUAUCUCUAGUCUGUGGUAAACAUUGCAGAAUAUAUGGAAUUUUGGGAGAUGGGAAGUGCAUUUAUCAGUUCCAAGCUACUUCUUUCAAAACAGGUCAUCAGGUCCUAGGGAUUUGUAGGCUUUUGGCUUCAUUAAUUCCUCUGAUCUGUUUUUUUUUUGCAAAUGCUAAUUUAUUCCAGUUCUUUGUUCACUUUAGACUCUUUGACAUCAUUUGAUAUCAAAUCUCAGACAUUCAAAUUUCAUUGGGGUAGACUUUAACACAAGGAAAUGUUCGACUAUCAACUUUGCGAAAUGCUGGCAGUCAACCAGCAGCUGUUUGUUCCUCCUGAAAUAAACUUCCGUUUGACCAUGGAGAUGCAAAUCAGUUCUCACUACACCAUCACAGAAAGCCAAGCUCCAGCCUCAGUAUAUUUACUUAUUUAUUGAGAUACAGCACGGAAUACGCCCUUCAAGCCACACUGCACAGCAGCCUUGGUUUAACCUUAGCCUAAUCAAGGGACAACUUACAACGACCAAUUAACCUACCAACUGAUACGAUACGCCUUUGGACUGUGGGAGGGAACUGGAGCACACUCCCAUGGUCAUGAAGACAGGGUACAAACUCCUUAAAGGCAGCAACGGGAAUUGAACCUGGGUCACCUGUACUGUAAAGCAUUGUGCUAAUCACUCGCUACCAUACUGCCUAUGGAUAUUGGGGAUUUGAGGAAGAAUUUUUUUUCCACCCAGAAGGUGGUUGAAAUCUGGAAUCGAUUCCCGAAGGUGUUGGUGAAGCCAGGUGCUCUCACGUUUAAGAAGUAUUUAACUGAGCACUUGAAAUGCUAAGGGAUAGGAGAUGAUGAGGUGAGCGCUGGAAAAUGGGACUAGUAUGGUGGGUACUUGAUGGAUGAUAUGAACACAGUGGUACUGAAAGCCCCGUUCCUGUAUUGUAGGACCACACCUGGAUAUCUCCCUAUCCACCUCUUGUUGAUGACUGUCUGGUGCAGCACCUUUAAACAUUGUGGCACGUAAAGGCAGACUAUACAUCAGAGUUCUUCAUACCACUGAGCCUGCUCUCCUGAGAGUGAAUACUUGUUUUUUAUCUGCUGAUUUGAUCCUCUAUGGCUGUUAUCUGCACUGACUUCAUGUUCAAAUGAUUCAGGGGAAUAGUUCAAAUACUGCACCACACCACCUCUUGGUGGCCAGCGUUGGAAUUACAACACAACCAUUGAUAAAGGAAUGGGAAGUUUACCCUAGCAAUCUUCUCUUCUUCUUUGGUUGUCUGUCGAAAUCCGAUGACGAUGUCCACUCCUUUAACGUUAAACAUUUGCUGUGCACGAGAAGGAAGACAUUGGCUGUUUCCACAACACGUUGAAGAAGCGGGAGAAAUGACAACAUUGCUGCUUCAAGCACUUCCCCUCUUUGUCACUUGGCAUGCUGCAUGAGUCAGAAGCACAAAGUCUUCAGCCUUGUCUCAGAGCUCCCCGACUCAUGACCUCCUAAAUCCAAUGCCUGCUUUCUUUUUGAAUUCUCAUCCUCUGUUGUACUGAACGAUGAAAGGAUUCUCAUCUCUGGUGACUCCAAUGUUCAUAUUAAUAAUCUGAAAACUGCAAACUCUAUGGCUGCGAAUUCACAAGUUUACCAGGCAGCCCAGAUUUCACUGAGCCCACCUAUCGACUUGGAAAUACAUCUAAUGUGGUAAUGACAAAAGGGUUAAAAAGUAUUAAUGUCUCUGCCUGAUACCACUCUCUGAUCAUUUUUUGUGUACUUUUUGAUGACCUCUGGCCUGGAACCAAGACCACAAAAUAAAUUACAGUUUAAGAAAAAAAAACACUUCUUGAUGCUGCAACACAACUUAAAUUCUCCGAGGUGACUAAUUUAUCUGUCCCAUG